rnacentral:tRNA from 1 species
UAUUUAAAUAGUUUAAGAAGAACGCCAGUUUGUGAAUCUGGAAGUAUAAGAAGUUUAUUAUUUUAAAUAA